rnacentral:hammerhead_ribozyme from 1 species
AAGCGAAACGGUCCCCGAGCACGGCUCGGGCGGCCGUCUGCCGGGCGUGGUGGCCCGGUACUGAUGAGCAGCCAAAC